rnacentral:rRNA from 1 species
CCUACGGGUGGCAGCAGUGAGGAAUAUUGGUCAAUGGGCGGAAGCCUGAACCAGCCAAGUAGCGUGCAGGAUGACGGCCCUACGGGUUGUAAACUGCUUUUAUACGGGAAUAACGCGCCUUACGUGUACGGCUUUGCAUGUACCUUAUGAAUAAGGACCGGCUAAUUCCGUGCCAGCAGCCGCGGUAAUACGGAAGGUCCGGGCGUUAUCCGGAUUUAUUGGGUUUAAAGGGAGCGUAGGCAGCCUGUCAAGCGUGCUGUGAAAUGUCCGGGCUCAACCCGGGCCUUGCAGCGCGAACUGGCAGGCUUGAGUCGGAGGAAAGCAGGCGGAAUUCGUCGUGUAGCGGUGAAAUGCUUAGAUAUGGCGAAGAACCCCGAGUGCGAAGGCAGCUUGCUGCAGCGGAACUGACGCUGAGGCUCGAAAGCGCGGGUAUCGAACAGGAUUAGAUACCCGGGUAGUC